CAGGCCUUCCUGACAUUGUCCCCCAGAACCCACAGCCAGGCCUUCCUGACACUGUCCCCCUGAACCCACGGCCAGGCCUUCCUGACACUGUCCUCCCGAACCCACACCCAGACUGGGGCUGUGGCAGCUCUUGCCACCCACCCUGAGCACAUCCCUGUCCGAGUGGGGGGCUCAUAGCGUGCCCCAAUUUCUGUGUCCCUGAGGGUUGUCCCCAUAAAAAUCCUCUUUUCCCAGAUCAUAAGGCCACAUCGUAAAGAACACAAACAUAGAAUAAAUACCAUGUAAAUUGGUCACAUAAAAAAUAUUGAAGAGAAUAUUUUAACUAUAACCAUUUUAACUAUAAAAAAUAACCAUUUUAUUAUAAAUAAUUUAACUAUAAAAAUGUCUAUUGGGAUUUAUGGGUGAUCGUGGCCUCUCCCGGCUCCUGGUUCAGAGCCAGGAGAGACAGAGGCGAGAGUCCCGUGGGGGCCAGGGACAUGCCAGUGUCUCCGCGUGGGCUGCAGUGGAGAAGCCACUUGGCCACAGACGUGGACAGGUGUCCCUAGAUGAGAAAGCCGACCCUGGUGAGGCUGAGGGGCCGCCUUGAGCUCUGCCCGUCCUCGGAGAAGGAAAGUUCUCUUCCAGCCUCUGCGCCCCAGCAGCUCCCGGCCCACCCGCCCCAGCUCCGCGCCUGUGACGUCCCCUCCCGACACGCAACCUAAGCAGGUGGGCGUGAGUGCUGUGACGGGAGGACACGUAUGUCCCCAUAAGUGCAGACACAAGCCUGACCCGGCUGCAGGGGCCACUCCGAGGCAGACCCUGCAGUAGCUCCCCCUACCCUGGGCCGUGGGGACAGGAAGGAGCGAGCGUUUCGCUCCCAGGACAAGUGUCGAUCCCGAGAUUACUGCAGGAUCAGAUGAGUUAAUUAAAAGCAGCACAGCGGGCGCCUCUGCUGCCGCUGUCUCCCACCAAGAACACGACACUGAGGUGAUCAAGAUCCUGGAAGCGCUUUGGAAUUACUCUCUGAAAAUGAGACUGCUCAGACGGAAUGACAAUUAAAUGAAUGACAACAGCGCAGACAACCCCCAGACGUCACCUUGGCUCUCGGCCUCCUUCCGUGAGCUGCACAUUCAGAGUGCCGGGUGUCUCCAGGAACAGAUUCGUGGGCCUUCCUGGCUGGGACCCCAGGCGGAGUGGGCGGCGCUGGGCUGGAGGAGCGGAGGCCAUGAGGGGCUGAGCUCCCAGCUGAUGGCCUUGGUGGCCAGAGAGGCCUGUCCCAACCCGGAAGGGCAUCACAGCGUUGUUGGAAAUUGCUCUCGCCAUCUCUGGAAUGAAUUCUUCCCUGCAGUUCAGACCCAGCGUUGUGACUUGGGUUUCAACCCAGGACGCUCUUGGCCACUCAAGUGUCUCAGCAUUGAUGGACGCCCAGAGACGCCGUCUCAUAUGUCGAUGCUGAAGGAGAAAUGGCAGCAGGUCCCCAAGCGGCAGGAAAUGGUCCAUUUUAAGAACAAUUUGUAAGUGACACGUAGUUUUUAUUUCAAUUGUCUGCUGAGCCUGUGAAGUGCGGGCAGAGCCAGUUCUGUGGCAUCGGCAUCUGUAAUGGCUCAGGGAGGCCGAGGACCGUCCUGGGCAGUGACACUGAGGCCGGGGGGCAGGCCCUGGGCCUGCUGCCGUACGCUGCUGCCUUUAGUCUCCCACGGGACCAGGAUGGCAAGUCACGCUGUCACAUAAUUGCACUCCAGCGCGGAGACUCGAGGAUGCCAUCGACCAAUUCAAGCUCCAGCUGACACGUAAUCGAUAGGCCAGGAGCAACCCGGAACCGCAGGCGCAGGGGACAGACCGUGAGAGCCGUGGCUCCUGGCUGGGCAGCUUUGCCCCCAGAGGACAUUCGGAAGUGUCUGGAGAUACUUGUGGCUGUCACAGCUGGGGGGGGGCUGCUCCUGGCGUCUGGUGGGCGGAGGCCAAGGACGCUGCCACACCACCUGCAGUGCACAGGAUGGUCCCCACGGCAGGCUUGUGCUGCCCAGAGUGUCCGCAGUGCUGAGGGCGAGAAGCUCUGCUUACAGCCAUGGUGACGUUUCGCUCCAUCGUCCGGACGUCUCCAGGGACGUACACAGCCGGACGUCUGGCUUCUCAUCCACGCGUCACUGCAGAGCCGCGGCCACAGGAGCCCUGUUAUCCUGUCUCCUCUCCUCCACCACAGUCCUCUCAGGCAAGCCCGAGUGAACCAGCCAGCCAUCCAGAAAACCAUCCAGAAAGCAAAGAGAACUGUCCUCAGCUGCGUCACCUCCUGACAUGUUGGGGCCAGCCAGGCCACCAGCGGGGGCUUCACACGAGCUCCUGGACUCGGCUGUGAUCAGACACUGGCCCUGUCCCCACAGUGGCCACUCUGCCUUGUUAUGUGGUCCUGAGCCCUGGGCCCAGCCCCCGCCCUGCCUGCGGUGACUUCAGGGUCACUCUCUGAAUGUGUUCCCUGUGGCCUGUGUCCCAGACCCUGUAAUUAAGCUCCUGUCUCCCUCCCCCCUCCCAGCUGGGGUCGCACAAAGGGUUUGAUUGUUCCGCAGGGUCUGGCUCAGACCUGCCCUGGCCUUCGUUUCUGCAGUCGCCCACCGCAGGCUUUGGGUCAGAGGUCAUUCCCGAGCACCACGGGCCCCGAAGUGAACUGGGGCUCCCUGAGCCACCCCGAAUUGCUGUGUGACUCCAGCACGUGCACAGGAAGCCCUGGCCCUGUGGACCCGAAUGCAGCCCAGAAGAGGCCCAGAUGUAGCGUGGACGGUGACAUGGUGACAUCCCAUCUCACACAGCAGGAAAGAGGAAACACCCCGUCUUGAUUAAGCAAGUCCUUAUCUCCCCCAAGUCUGAGGGGACACGGAGUCUUCACUGACCGUGUCAGGCUCUUUCUGAGGAGGGAAGGGAACAUCCCCAAGAGACGGUGACUUGGACCUUCACUUUUGCUGAGAUUUGAAAUUCUCUUCUUCUCAAUCUUUAAAUCUGCUGGUGCCAAAGUCUGCUCUGUACCCAGCCGUUCCUGUGACCUCGGGCAAGUUCCUCAACUUGUGCCUCUUCCUCUGCAAAGAGGGAAUAAUGACAGUACCGGCUCCCGUGCUGGUCAGAACCGCAUGAGACGACGCACGAAGACCCGUCGGCCCGGAGAGCCACAGCGUGAGCCGUGACGACAGUGUGGUCCCCACUCUGGGGGCAAGUUUGUUCCCAAACCGAGUCCACGGGUGGGGGACGGAAACCACCUGAGCUGAAAGGAGGACACAGCCAAGUCCUGAGGCCCCGCCAGGGUCUCCUUAGGCCGAGGACGUAGACAAGGAGGCUGCUAUGGGACUGCAGGGAGCGGCACGGCCGUCACCGUUGCUGCGGGGACCCGCACCUGCUUCUCUGCAGCCGCAGGUCACCUGCCAGGAGCCGCUGCUGAAAGGCCAGGUCACCCCUGAGCGAGGCCACCGCAGCCUGACCCCGGACAGCCAAUUUGCUGACACGGUGGAACUCACACCCUGAGCAGGGUCUGGAGAGUUCAGGGGAUGUGGCUGUCGCCAGAGUGGGGGUGGCACAGGAAGCCACGGGCUGGGAGAGCGGAAAAGUGGCCUGACGUGGGAAAUGUCAGAAGACUGCCUGAAUUAAGCAUUUUUACAUCAGUGUUUACGGCGUAGCCUUUUGUCGGUUUUUCCCCUCAUCCACCCCCGUCUCGCCCUCCGCACACUGUAAACCGUCUCCAGGCUGCGGGUCCUCGCCCAGCCCGUGUGGGACCUCAGUGAGGCGGGACGUCAGGACUCCGUGUGACGGGCACGGCCCAGCUCCCGUUUGUGCAAAGUGACACGUCUCAGCUCCGCUGCGGGAAGAGGAGCCUCCCAGGCUUGUCGGGGAACAGUCACAGAGUCUACUGUGAAAACGAAGCGCCCCAACCCCUUUCCUAUGCUGCACCCCAAACCUCACGACGUUUUCCAUCUCUCUGGAAGAGCCCUGGACUCGGGGUGUUUAACAACUAAAACGUUAUUUUUCAUUUUCUGAGAUUCUGCUCGUGGAAUCAGGCAGCCUCUCAGUGUGCCGCGCCUAAGCUGGUUCCUGAUGAGGGUCUGGGGGACCCUGCAUGUCCCAGGUUCCUCUGUCACAGGAGCCCAGGGACUCUGCAGGACCAAACUCUCACCGGAGGAUCCGCUGGAUACGGGGACCCGCCUGGGGCGGGUGAGUCUGCCCAGUGAGGCUGGCUCUGGGCUAAGCCCGGCUGGCAGGGGGCAGGACCGAGGCCUGAAGGGGAGCGGGAGGGAAAGCGGGUCCAGGACGCCCCCCCUUGUGCCCUGGGCUUUCCCCAGCCCUCUGCCUCUCCCUCGGGCUGGCUGAAGCCCCUCCUGAGAGCUCCCCGCUGGGCGAGUCCAGCAAGCCUGGGGCAGGCCCGGUGACCUCGGCGUGGGUGGAGUUCUAGAAACCCGCCCUGGCUCCUGCAGUCCACAUUCGCCCUCCACGCCUUGUAGGGCGUCCCUCCGCUCUGCUUGUCUCACUAACCCGGCGCUGGGACCGUCCCUGGUUCUGUGCAUUAGACCAGCUCAGGGGACGCUCCCUCCAAGCUGCGGUGCUCUCGGCGAUAGGAUGCCCUGAGACCCCCGUGUGACAGCGCAGAGUGACAUUAAUGCAUGAAAUUAGCAGCCUCAGCAGCAUUAAUGCGUCUGCUGGUGGAGACUGAGGCUUGUUUGGUGAAAGGGAUCAUUAGAUGUUUGCAAACAUCCCACACGCUGCGGCAAGGCCUGGGCGCUGACAAAUGAUAAAUGAGAAAAUUAGAGGCUUCAGGAAAAUGUAAAUAUCAUCCUUUGUAAGUCUGUCCUUUGGCAGAAAAAAAGAAUGUUUCCCCAGAGCGAUGGGGCAUUCCUCAUCUCUUUAAACACCAGGGAAAAUGGCUGUGACUGUGUCACACACUUUUACACAUCUUGAUUUGUCUUCUAGGUUCCUACCAAGGCCUGGGCAAGAUGUGGGAGAAAAGGCUGUAAUUUCAACUGAUCUUCCCCUAAUUCAGUGUUUCUCUAUUUUUAUUGCAUUUCACCCCUAAGCAACCUUUUUAGACAUUUCUUUUACUCGCUUCCCCCAGUGAAGUUCUAAUAACACAGAAACGCUGUACGAUGGUUUAUGCACUCUACGCACAUCUGUACUUUUGCACAAAGAAAGUUCUUUUGUGUUUUACAUAAAGAGAAUAAAAUCUUUUUCUACCAAAACCAGCUUCCACCCCUUGGGAACAGAGCAGAAUCACCCACUGAGAAUGAUGUUCUGGUUCCUUCUUUUGUUCAUCUGUUCAAACGUGCAGCAAACGUGCACCCGGUGCCAACUCUGGGCCCGAGAUGUGCUGGGCCCUGGGGCUGCCACCAAGAGCAGAGCCGGCAACCCCGGUCCUCAUGGAUCUGACAUUGUUGCAGGGACGACAGACACAGGGAUCACAGGUGAACAUGUCCCACAUCCAAUACAGACCAAUGCUGUUGAGAACAGGAGACGGGGGUCUGGGGUGCUGCAGGAAACAGAGGUGGCCAGAGAAGGCCUGGAAGAGCUGAAAGGAGCUGAAGGGAUGAGUCUGAGAUGCCGCAAGGAGCCCCGCGUGGCUGGAGCCGAGGGGUCGUGGAGGGAGAUGUGGCCACAGAGGUGAUGGAGACAGCAGGGUGGAGGAGACGAUCAUCUCAGGCCUUGGGGACCCUGUGAAGACUUCAGAUUUUACUCUGAGGGAAGUGGGAGCCAUUGGAGGGUUUGAGCAGAGAUGGGACAUGGUCUGGUUUACAUUUUAUCAGGAUAAUCUGUCUGAGGACAGGUUGGUGGGGGAGACAAGGGCUGGGGCAGAGUGACUGGCAGGGAGGCUACUGCAGUGGUCCAAGCUGGAGAUGAUGGUGGCUUGAACCAAAGGGUAGCCACAUGGCUGUACUCUUGAUCUAUUUUGGAGGUAGAGCUGGCAGGGUUUGCUAAGAAUGAUGAUGUCACCCCAGGGCUGUCAAAGAUCCACCGAGUGCCAGCUGUGUUCCUGCUACUAAUUUGUGAUCCUCCCAACACCCUAUGAGGUGGGUAAGACACAGGUUCAAUGCGUUCCUUAGCGAUCACAGCUCGUGAGGGGCAGAGUCAGGACUUGAACUUGGAUAGAGGCUACACGCGUGACCACCUUGCUGUGCUGUGCAGUGUAUUUGGGAUAAAAAAGGGUAAAGUCCUGUCUCCCUCCUGGUCAGCCUUCCCUACAAUAGCCAUUCCCUUUCCAGAGAAGUCACAGCAAGCUGUCUAAAACCCUGCUGCCUCCAUUCCUGAAUCUCACUGUUUCCUCCCCAAACCUCGGCCCUUUCAUCGGCCGACACCAUCCUCCGUGCCCCCGGCCUAAGCUCCCUGCCCACCCCGUGCAGCCAAACUCUCCACCCAGGUCACAGAGCUAAGAAAUGUAGUAAGCCUGGAUCUUCGCAGUGAUAAUCAAAAUAGUAACCAAUAUAGCAAAAUAAAUUUUAAAAUAAAUUUGGUUUCAUUUUCUAAGUAAACUCCAAGAAAAAAUGCUUUUUAACUGAAAGAAAUGUAAGCUGAAGCACCAGUCACUUAUAUUAUUUCAGUAACGUGUUGAGUGAUCUGUCAGUUUUUAAACGUUGGUGGCAUCGUCUGUCGUUCGGCACAGCUGUCACUGCCUAAGCAGUGCUCCUAUCUGAGCCAUGAUGGACAUGGGGAGUCCCAUCCACCGCUUCCAACCACCUCUCGAUUAAAUUAAUGGCCAUUAGGGCCCUGGCACCGAGCGCUUGUCACAUACCAGGACAGAUGGCCAUGCUACCUGCCCAUCUUGGCCAACUGCACACAGGAAUCCCACCUGACAACCACCAACGGCAACCCUCGGGCCCCCACCCCGCAGUGUACAAAUAGCCAGGCUCUGUAGCAGCAAACUGCAGAAAGAUUCUCUUUACCCUAAUAAGUACAACCUAUUCUCGUUAUUCACAGUUGUUAUGUUCUAUAAAGUCACUGCAAACACUGAAUUAGCAAACACUGAGCCACCGCUCCCCUGGGAAGCAACAGGGUGAGGUCCCCAUGAGCCUGUGGUCAACAAUAUUUUCAUGAACUGAUCAAUACGUACCCUUGUUUUAUGUGUGUUUCUGUUUAAAGGCACUUUAUUUACUAUACAUUGUUGGUUCAUUAGCAUUGAACUCACGGCCAGCAGCGCUGCAACUCGUGCCUCAGCCACGCUGGUCUAACCCACCCUUCUCUGCAAGGCACAGCCCAGCCUUCCGCACUCAGGAACACCAGGCGGCACUGCAUUGCACUCGUGGGGCCCAUUUUAAACAGCAAAAUCGCCAAUAAAAGCUGCAAGAUCAAUCUUCUUCUGCCUUCAGACUCAGACUCAGACUGGAACUUACGCUGCCAGCUCUCUGGGUUCUCCAGCUUGCCAACUGUGACAUUGGACUUCUCAGACUCCACUGAGAUAACACACGGCACGUGUUAUCACUUAGGCAAAUCAGUUAGCUCCUCCAGAUAGUCACAUGAGCCAGUUCUUUACAGUAAAUCUCUCUCUCUCGCUCUCUCUGUCUUGCUCUCUUAUAUAUAUAUAUAUGCACACA